rnacentral:rRNA from 1 species
AUACGGAGGGUGCAAGCGUUGUUCGGAAUAACUGGGCGUAAAGGGUUCGUAGGCGGUUAUUUAAGUCAGAUGUGAAAGCCCCGGGCUCAACCUGGGAAUUGCAUCUGAUACUGGGUAACUAGAGUUUAAGAGAGGAGUGUGGAAUUUCCGGUGUAGCGGUGAAAUGCAUAGAGAUCGGAAGGAACAUCAGUGGCGAAGGCGGCACUCUGGCUUAAAACUGACGCUGAGGAACGAAAGCGUGGGUAGCAAACAGGAUUAGAUACCCCAGUAGUCC